rnacentral:rRNA from 1 species
UACAGAGGUGGCAAGCGUUUGUUCGGAAUUACUGGGCGUAAAGGGCGCGUAGGCGGUUCGGUAAGUCCCGUGUGAAAUCCCUCGGCUCAACUCCGGAACUGCCUUUAAAACUGCAUCGCUUGAAUCCAGGAGAGGUGAGUGGAAUUCCGAGUGUAGAGGUGAAAUUCGUAGAUAUUCGGAAGAACACCAGUGGCGAAGGCGGCUCACUGGACUGGUAUUGACGCUGAGGUGCGAAAGCGUGGGGAGCAAACAGG